GACGAACGCUGGCGGCGUGCUUAACACAUGCAAGUCGAGCGGAAAGGCCCUUCGGGGUACUCGAGCGGCGAACGGGUGAGUAACACGUGAGUAAUCUGCCCCAGGCUCUGGGAUAGCCACCGGAAACGGUGAUUAAUACCGGAUACGACAACCGAUUGCAUGAUCUGGUUGUGGAAAGUUUUUCGGCCUUGGAUGUGCUCGCGGCCUAUCAGCUUGUUGGUGAGGUAAUGGCUCACCAAGGCUGCGACAGGUAGCCGGCCUGAGAGGGUGACCGGCCACACUGGGACUGAGACACGGCCCAGACUCCUACGGGAGGCAGCAGUGGGGAAUAUUGGACGAUGGGCGGAAGCCUGAUCCAGCAACGCCGCGUGAGGGAUGACGGCCUUCGGGUUGUAAACCUCUUUCAGCACAGACGAAGCGCAAGUGACGGUAUGUGCAGAAGAAGGACCGGCCAACUACGUGCCAGCCGCCGCCGUAACAC
rnacentral:rRNA from 1 species